rnacentral:tRNA from 1 species
GGGCCCUUAGCUCAGUUGGUUAGAGCACCUGGCUCAUAACCGGACAGCCCUGGGUUCAAAUCCCAGAGGGCUUACCA